UGGCACAAAUGUUGAAAGACUAGCUUGCUGUAGACAUAAUGAAGCAAGCAAAAUGAAAUCUCCCAAGGAUAAAAGUGUAAUGUCCUUUACUUUUUAUCUUUUAGGUACAGGCUUGUGCCACAUCUGACUUUAUUGCUGUGGGCAAAAAAGCAGCCAGGGUGAAGAGGGGUGAAGGUCACUUCUGAUAAAGAACAAAAUUCUUGCACAUUUAUACUUCGGCACUUACCGCAAGGUGGCUUGUACUAUGGCUAAUUAUCUUCGCUUGAACAAACUGAGAGCAAGAAAAGGUCAUGUUAUUGAUUCUUACUUGAUAAAUCUCAAGUUCCUAGGAAGGUUUCCAGGGAGGCAAGUAAGGUGGUCUGGUUUUCCCAUCUCUUUAUGAAUUUCCUACAGUUGCAGUCCUUACAACUUUAUGAGAAGCAGGGCAGUGCGCAGAAGCAGAAAGAACCCAAAAUCUUGACCUGUUUUCAGUGCCAAGUUGUGGUAAAACCUUGACCAUGUCAACUAAAGGUUCCUGGACUUCAUCAUCAACAUUUGUAAAUGUAUAAUACACGUUUUGGUGUUGGAAAACCAAAUAAAAUGACCUGUAUAACAGCUGGCAGCUGUAUCACUUGCUAGCACACGUGUAGAAACUGGCAUUCAGAGUGGGUAAACAAGACAUAAAGGUUCUGUUGAUAUAUUAUUGUACGUUGAUCUCUGAUACUGGCCUAUUAGACUUAAAGGCAAUUUCCAGGUGGUUUUUCCAUUUGUACUUGGUGUCUAAUCAUUCUGAUUAAGUCAUGGCUGUGAUGGCUGCUGCUCAAACAUUUGGUUGUGCUGAUAAAUGUAUAACUAAAAUAAAAAGGAAAUGAAAGUA